rnacentral:rRNA from 1 species
ACGGAGGGUGCAAGCGUUACUCGGAAUCACUGGGCGUAAAGGAUGCGUAGGCUGGAAAUCAAGUCGAGAGUGAAAUCCAACGGCUUAACCGUUGAACUGCUCUCGAAACUGGUUACCUAGAAUAUGGGAGAGGUAGAUGGAAUUGGUGGUGUAGGGGUGAAAUCCGUAGAUAUGACCAGGAAUACCGAUUGCGAAGGCGGUUUACUGGAACAUUUUUGACGCUGAGGCAUGAAAGCGAGGGGAGCAAACAG